UAUGCGCCUGGAAGACGCCAACAUUGUAAUAUCAAUGUAGACACUGACCAAAUAGCGCUAAAUUAAUACUGAACUGAGACAUGUUAACGAUUUCAGUUGAGCCAACAGGGCCGCAAAGAACUAAGCCUAUCUUUGUACGGUAGUAAGAAGCUUGCACAUA